rnacentral:misc_RNA from 1 species
GUUUUUAUAGAUUUUUUAGGUCUAUGUUACAAUAUUAAUACUGAAUUCUUUUGGUAAAUAAUAAUAGGAUACCAAGCCUAAGCUUGAUUAUGACUCGGUUAACAUUCUGCUGGCCUACCCAUAUAGCCAGCAAACAUUCCUCAAGCGUCAAAUAAUAAUACAGUUCACAGUAAAUAAAAUAUUGCUAACCGAAGCUAGAAUAUCAAAUUAUUUAAUGAUCCUUCCGCAGGUUCACCUACGGAAA